rnacentral:rRNA from 1 species
GCAAGUCGAACGGUGAAGCAGGAGCUUGCUCCUGUGGAUCAGUGGCGAACGGGUGAGUAACACGUGAGUAACCUGCCCCAGACUCUGGGAUAAGCGUUGGAAACGACGUCUAAUACCGGAUACGAGCUUCAGCCGCAUGGCUAGGAGCUGGAAAGAAUUUCGGUCUGGGAUGGACUCGCGGCCUAUCAGGUAGUUGGUGAGGUAAAGGCUCACCAAGCCUACGACGGGUAGCCGGCCUGAGAGGGUGACC